rnacentral:tRNA from 1 species
UGGUUCUUUAGCCCAAAGGUGGGGUACUGCUCUUUAAAGGCAGAGGGUGCUGGUUCGAGUCCAGCAAGAACCAU